rnacentral:rRNA from 1 species
AGUGAACGCUGGCGGUAGGCCUAACACAUGCAAGUCGAACGGCAGCACAGUAAGAGCUUGCUCUUACGGGUGGCGAGUGGCGGACGGGUGAGGAAUACAUCGGAAUCUACUUUUUCGUGGGGGAUAACGUAGGGAAACUUACGCUAAUACCGCAUACGACCUACGGGUGAAAGCAGGGGAUCUUCGGACCUUGCGCGAUUGAAUGAGCCGAUGUCGGAUUAGCUAGUUGGCGGGGUAAAGGCCCACCAAGGCGACGAUCCGUAGCUGGACUGAGAGGAUGAUCAGCCACACUGGAACUGAGACACGGUCCAGACUCCUACGGGAGGGAGCAGUGGGGAAUAUUGGGCAAUGGGCGCAAGCCUGAUCCAGCCAUACCGCGUGGGUGAAGAAGGCCUUCGGGUUGUAAAGCCCUUUUGUUGGGAAAGAAAAGCAGCAGGUUAAUACCCCGCUGUUCUGACGGUACCCAAAGAAUAAGCACCGGCUAACUUCGUG